UCAGAUGGCCAAUUAAGUGUGUGUUUGGAAUCCAUUUGAUAUAGGAGUUCUGUGCUUUUUGUACAUUCGCAACAAAAACAUAUAUGUAUAUAGAACAGAUGCCUUUUUAAUCCUGUGCUUCCAACUUUUAGGGUACAAUACAAAGCUAGUUACUUCGUCAAUUAAACAGCCAUGCAAUUCACGGAACCUCUCCCAACCCCCAAAGCGCAAUCCUCUUAUCCCACUGUCAGUACUUGUAGUAUUUUUAUAGCUAACAUUGAAUGUAUUUAUUUAUCUAUUAAAGCAAUAUUUGCCUAGUUAGUGUAUUCAAUAAGACUGUGAACUGAAUCAUACAUAAGUCUCUAUAAAAUGUCAGUGUUAUCUCCGGCAAUUAGCAGACGAUAGUUUGUGACCAUUUUAACAUAUUACUAUCUUACACAAAAACACUAGAGAAAGUUUUUUUUAUACAUUUUUGAAGCGAUAUAAUGAGCAAUAAAAUAUUGUAUAUUUAUCAUAACCCUAAUUGCGUUUAUCGAUAAAUCAAUCAUCAAACAACGAUCUCAAGGGGUGUGCAAUAACGAUUGUCUGUUUGUCUAUUUUUUUGCACCAAUUGUAACCGGUGUCCCCCAGGGAGGAGAUUUGUCAGUUCGUUUAUGCGACUUUGUCGACUUCAAAUCGUAGUUUUCCUUUCUAGUAACGAACUGGCAACAAUACGUGCGGAAAGAGGAUUUUGCGUUUUAUUCUAUGCUUUUUUUUCGCGUAUUUUUGGGGCUGAGGAUUUUAGCUAGGUAAGCAACCCGCCAAUUGUAUAUUUAUGAGUUUACUAUUUCGCUGCAUAUAUUAUUUUUUAUUGAUGUAUCAAUUUGAAGUUGAUUCUGCUGGGGAUUAGUUUGCGCACUAUUCAAAAUUGGGUAUUUAUGAAUCAUUGUUACAAUUGGAAUACAUUUUACAACUGAACUAGGGUUGUACUUAUUCAAAAAUAUUUUACACUAUUUUCUAGGUGAGGUGCGUUGGCAAUUCGCCAUUAACUGUGCCACUUUUUAGAGUAAAACCUGUCACGGGGAUAUUUCCUGCAACUUUUUACUCAAACGGUAUCAAUAACCGUAAAUACAGCGGAAAGCUGUCAUUUCAAAAUAUGAAUACCGAAAAAUGAGUAUUAUUUUUAACUUCAUUGGUCGCAUGCAUAAACUAGCUUGUCACUAUUUCGGUAUCAGCGUGACUCAAUUUUCAUUAAUUAGUAACAAAGCUGUUUUACAUUUAAAACAAUAUUCGUUUCAUUAAAGUUGACCGGUCAACGGUUAUCACCGCGGACGUCCUGCGCCGACCUCUUAUCAUCUAUUUAUCACCGAAAGAGGAAACAGACAGUAUUUUUAUUUAUGUUAGUCCCCACUGCCUACGCACUAUGGUACCGAAGUCUAGAAUAUCCAUGAUUUCGCGAAUUAGUUUCGCAUUGCUUUAUCUGAAGGACGAACGUGGUUUAUGCAGUGAUAUACCGAAUGGAUUUAUUUUUGAGUGAAAAGUAUCAUAGACUGUGAAGUGAUACGAAUUUGAAUUGAAUAUCGAAAUUAACAACUUUCAUCUUUUAUUCGAUUAGACUCCAAAAAUAUUUGCACAAAAUUUCCGAAGCUAAUUAAGUCAGAUCGCGUUAUUAAACUCGACAAUAGACUGAUACGUAGAAUUAAUGAUCGUUCGCCAAUUAUCCAAUAUUGAUUUAAUUAAAAGUACAAAGGCCUGGGCCGGCUGCACCCGUACGGCUCGGGCAGCGGCAGCGGAUCCAGCAGCGGCAGCGGGCGGCGGCGUGCGCGCAGCGGUCUCUCCGACUCGCCGACCGCUCCCGCUACGCCCACGUCGGCCUCGGACAACGCGUCCGACGCCACCCUCACCGACUCAGAGUUGCCGCUUGCUAGGGACUCCACCCUGCUGCAUAACGGUAUGUAAUUGAUACAAAUCAUUAUUCAGAACACCGAUAAAGGUAAUAAAUGGAAUUUAAUUAUUGCAAUUUGAAUAGAUGUACAUUCAUAUGUACAUUUUGUGAAUUUCAUCGGAAUUCCUAGUAGCAAUUAAUUUGCCUGGAAUAGGCUUUGGUUUGUCGGUAUGUAAAUAGACCGAUAUAUUAUAAUUAUAUAUGUAGAACUGAAAAUGGUUUAAUAAAUAUCGAUAAUUUAGAUAAAUACCUAAAAGUCGGAAGUUUUCAAGGAAUUUUCGCCCAUUCAAUCAGCUAAAAUUUUCAAAUUGAAAUGAAAGCGAAAUAUUAAAAUAGAAGUAUUUUUGAAUACAAAAAUAUUAGAAUUACCCAUCCUAUAGUUAUAGAUCGAUUGACGUUCGAUUCAUCCUUCGAAAUCUUUUUUGAUUCUACCCUGAGAUUGAAUCUCAAAUUAAUGCAACUUUUUUUAUGACACACAUAAAACUGUGCCCUAUUAUGUCUGACUUAGAAAUGAAAUUUGCAAGGUAAAGGUUACCUAAGGUUAGUAGGUGCCGUAAAUAUUGAAACAUACGAACCACCAGAAAAUGAGAAGUAAUCCUACACACGUUCUACCAGGCAAACGUACCAGGUAAACGGGUCGAUGUCAUCAAAAAUCCGAUGUUAAGUUAACGUAAACGUGCGCGUUUUUAAAAUUGCCUCUCGAGGACUCGCGUGCUGAUUAAAAUACAUAGAUUUGAUCUUACGUGAGAAUGUUCGAUCAAUGCGCUUAUUUGAACAAAAUCCCCCUUUUGUUGGUUGGUACUACGUUGCAUGUGACAUUGUCAAUUGUUAACUCGACAUAACGGCAUUGUGUUGAAACGAGAUAAUUUCGGCGCACUCGUUUAGCAUUGUUCGGUCAUAAAUCGAGUUUUGUUACGGAACUCAUUAUCUAUACGGUUUAUCACAUUCAAUCUGAAAAGAAUGAUAUCAUACGCUAUGAAUGUUCAAUAUAUUUUUCGAAAAGAAUUCACUACGAAAAUAGGUCAUUAUUUUUUCUGUUUAAUUAUAUGCUUAAUUAAAUAUAUAAACAAAAAAGGAUAUAACGAUUUUAUCUCAAGCGGCACAAAGUUAAAGCUAACAAGUUAAAUAAAGUCCUCAAAAGCAACCACAAGUAACGUCCGCAAAAUAUUAAAAACAUUAAACAGUUGGUAAAUUUUAAUUGAUUAGAUAAACAAGCCCGCUUAUCGUCGGUUAGUUCGAAAAGUUUUUAAUUAACAACUAAACACACUGAACAAAUAUAAAUAUGGCUGAACGAUACACAUUCCUUGCGUUAAUUAGUUAAACUUUAAGUUAUUGACUUGCAGUUUGCUUGUGACUGAUAAGCUAAGCUUGAGGGGUGCGCCGCAACUCGGUAUAGUGCAAACACUAUUUAUUUUAUCGUAUUAACACUAGAAAGACCGCCGUCGUCAAAUUGACGAUUCUUUGAAGUAAAGUGCUCAUAUUUUGAAAGUUAUGCUUUAUUCAAACAUGACACUCUUUGACUUUUAAUAUUUUGCAGUUUUAUAGCCUCCAUUUAAAUUAAAGGCUGUUAUCUUAAGUAGUUUUCGAAAUACAAUGAGUCAUAUCUAUAAAGACCACAGUCGUCAAAAUGACGCAUUGUAAAAAACUCAAUCGAUACAAUCGACCUUAUCGAAAACAAACAUUUCUAAGUACCCCUACCUACCCUCUACCUACUUAGAAAUAUUUGUUUACAUUACACACCGCUUUAUUUAGUUAUGCUUUCUUAUUUUUCAAUCAGUGUUGAAACUCUUAGUGGUGUGUAAACUGCAUAAACUUGUAUUGUUUAUAAAUAUUGGGUUCAUUUAGGAUAAAAUAAAUAUGAGUGCGCGUAGAAAUAUGUCUGAGUCAGAAAUAGAAAAACAAUUGCAAACUCUUCGAAAUCUACCGUAUCCGGAGUCUGAAUCGGGCGGAGAAGAUAGUGUCAUUGCCAUUGAAUUGAUUGAUACGGCAGACACGGAUUAUAUACCGGCAACCAACGACGCAUUGCUGAGGGACAGCUCAGAUUCGAGCGAAGAUAUUGAAUUAGAAACACCGUCUAUAGUGGUUCCUAGCCAGCGUGGUAUCCGAUCGAGAAGCAGGCGUAGAGGAAGUCGAGGUAUGCGUGGUGGAUCUUUUUGAUCACGGCAAUCGGAACAUCCUGUUAUUGAUGAUAUUUUGAUUGCAAGUGAUACCUUCCUUGAAAGUUUAUCAGGGGAAACCAAACAAAAAUGUCAUAAUUCUUAGUAAUUCUCUACACCCGAGUGUACAAAUUGGCAUGGGCGAAAAAAAAAUUCCUGAAACUGUUGAAUUUUAUAAUUCAACAAAAUUUGGUGUGGAUAUUUUAGAUCAAAUGGCAAGGAAAUACUCAGUGAGAGCUGGUACUCGUAGAUGGCCUAUGCACGUAUUUUAUAAUGUUUUAGACAUAGCUGUUAUAAAUUCAUGGGUUGUUUAUAGAAAAAUUACAGCAAUAUUUCACGUCAUAAUUUCAUACUGCAACUUGUUUGCGAGUUACGAGCAGAACAUCAAAAAAAUCUAUAAUUUGCUCCAAAUGCUUUUCUGAUUAAAACUAAUUAAUAUAAUAUAAUAUAAAUUAAAAGUAGUGAAUAGCAGCUAUUGUUUUUCUGUAUUAAUAAUAAUAAUAAUUUCAUAUCAACGUUAGGGUCACCUUAGCGUCAAAAUGACGUCGCUGGUCUUUUUAGGUAGCAUACGAAUGCCGGUCUUUCUAGUGUUAACUACGCGGUUCCGUUUAAUUUGCUUAUUGCUCUUCUUUGACUUGUGGUUGAAGAUAUUAUUUACAUUGUAUAAUAGUAGUUUCCCGCGACUUCAUCCGCGUUGUAAGUAGACUAAGUAUGAGGGUAGCUUGUAGGUAAAUAAUUUGCAUGAUUAUAAAAUUAUGCCUAAGUGGAAUCAAGCAAUACACGCUACGCAAACCUAAUUGAAAUCGGGAGAGUAGUUUAGGAGAUCAUCGCGGACGACCAAUGUGACACGUAAUUUGAAAGUAUUGAGAUGUAUAAUAAAUAUGUCAAGUUCUGCAUUUAAUGUAAAACCUGGCAUAUUUGAAACAUCGUGUAGCAGAAUUUGUUUUGCCUUUUGUAUUCAUACUAUGUACGAGAAUGACUAAUGAGCACAAUAUGUGUUUAUAACUCUAAUAAUGUAAACAACAAAUUGUCUUUAAUCUUCAAUACACAUCGUUUAAUUGAUGUUUUACUAGGAAUUCAUUAACUGAGUCGAUAAGCAUAUAACGAUGCUUUUGUUUUCUUUAAUGUACGGAUAGCUGAGUGAUAGAGGUUCGAUCCU